rnacentral:rRNA from 1 species
GACGAACGCUGGCGGCGUGCUUAACACAUGCAAGUCGAACGGUGAAGGGACCAGCUUGCUGGUUCUGGAUGAGUGGCGAACGGGUGAGUAACACGUGAGUAACCUGCCCCCUUCUUCUGGAUAACCGCAUGAAAGUGUGGCUAAUACGGGAUAUUCUGGGUCUGUCGCAUGGCGGGCCCGGGAAAGAUAUUGCUUCGGUGGGGGAUGGGCUCGCGGCCUAUCAGCUUGUUGGUGGGGUGAUGGCCUACCAAGGCGGUGACGGGUAGCCGGCCUGAGAGGGGGGACGGUCACACUGGGACUGGGACACGGCCCAGACUCCUACGGGAGGCAGCAGUGGGGAAUAUUGCACAAUGGGCGCAAGCCUGAUGCAGCGACGCCGCGUGAGGGAUGGAGGCCUUCGGGGUGUAAACCUCUUUCGCCAGUGAAGCAGGCCUGCUCCUUGUGGGUGGGUUGACGGUAGCUGGAUAAGAAGCGCCGGCUAACUACGUG